rnacentral:lncRNA from 1 species
GACCGGCAGGAAUGACAGAAGCAGCAGCGAGAGCCCUUCAGAGGACCGCGAAACGCGAACUCCCACCCCAGCAAACCACCAAGGGGAAGAGGCGGGCCCCCAUCCAGGAGGCCUUAGGAACAGGAGAGCUGACUUUUCUAAAGCAAAUAAGGCAGUGUUCUCCCCAGGGCGCCAGGCUUCCCCAGCUCCAAGUCUGGGCGUCUGAAAUCUGCUGUGUAAUUGGAUCACGCCCGGCCCGUGCUGAGCGCCCAUCUGCGCCCGUCUUGGAAAACACAAGUCUCAGAGAAGGAAAGCAGUUGCCACAGAAUCUGCAUCACAGAAGAUAUCCAGUUGGGCAAGACCCCGCCUCCCUGACAGGUGGCACAGGAGGGUGGUUGGAGCAGGAGGGUGGGAAGUGAUACGUGGAUCUUGGAAGAACAGCCUGGCUCUACCACUCGCCGUGUGUCUGUGGGUAUGUGAGUCCCCACUCUGUGCUGUGGCCUCCUCAUGCAGAGAAAGGAGCUGAUAAAAGUCACCGAGUUAAACUUAACACAAAGUGAGUUCAUGUGUGUGAACUCUCUCAAAAACGGUGCUGGCACACAGUAGGUGCUCAAGCAGCGCAAGCAUUUUACACAGUCACUGCCGUGGCUGUUCGGAGUCUUAUUUGCAGUCUGUAUCAUGCUGCUCAGCAGUUAAGCUUUUGUUGGAUCUGAGCUCUGUCUUAACAAAAGGGGACAGGACCCCCUUCCCUCUGCGGUCCUUCUGCCCAGGCAUGUGACGAAGGUGGUGAACUCAGCACUCACUGAACACCCGCCCAUCCCACCCCGGAUGGGGACUCUGGGGUGUGCAUCAGCAGUUUCAAGAAACACAGAAUGACCACCUGACCCAGCAAUUCCACUCCUAGGUAUGUACCCUAAGGAACUGAAAACGAAAACUGGUACAAAAACGUUUAUGUCGACAUUAUUCACAACCAUAAGUUAGAAACAGCCCAAGUGUCCCUGAACUAGUGAAUGGAUAAACUAAUUGUGGUCUAACCACAUGGUGGAACGUUAUUCACCCACAAACAGAAGGUAGUACGGACACAUGCUACCAUACGGAUGAACCUAAAGCACACGAUGCUGAAAGAAGCCAGACAAAAGGUUGCCUAGAGCAUGAUUCUGUGGGUGGAAAAUGCCCGGAACAGGCAGACCCAAGACCCAGAGGGGAUGAGUAUUUGCCUGGGGCUGGGAGGGAGAUGGAGAGUGAGUGCUAAUGGGUUUGAUGGUAAAUUUUAUGGUCUGUGUAUUUUACCACAAUAAAAAAGACAUACCCAAGUGAAAAAAAAAGUGUAUAAACACAUGACAAAAUGUAUUACUAACAGACACAUAUAAAGAAGUAAAAUUCCACAAAGAUAAGCCUUGUUAUGCGGACACUGUCUCCUGGUGGCAGCAUCCCUGGUUUUUUCUUUGGCUUCUCUGCAUUACCAAUUUUAUUUGUGUCUGACAUGAUUUACUCGAAACACAGUGAAAUAAUGCUAAUGUAAAAGCUGGC